rnacentral:rRNA from 1 species
CCUACGGGUGGCAGCAGUGGGGAAUAUUGCGCAAUGGGGGAAACCCUGACGCAGCAACGCCGCGUGAGUGAGGAAGUAUCUCGGUAUGUAAAGCUCUUUCAGUGGGGAAGAAAGAGGACGCUAGCCGACUAAGAAGUCCCGGCUAACUACGUGCCAGCAGCCGCGUUAAUACGCAGGGGGCGAGCGUUAUCCGGAUUUACUGGGGGUAAAGGGAGCGUUGACGGCGUCGCAAGUCUGAAGUGAAAGCCCGUGGCUCAACCGAGGAAGCGCAGUGGAUACUGCGAGGCUGGAGUGCUGGAGAGGUAGGCGGAAUUCGUGGUGUAGCGGUGAAAUGCGUAGAUAUCAGGAGGAACACCGAUGGCGAAGGCAGCUUACUGGACAGUGACUGACGUUGAGGCUCGAAAGCGUGGGGAGCGAACAGGAUUAGAUACCCUGGUAGUC